rnacentral:rRNA from 1 species
AGUCGAACGAUGAUGCCCAGCUUGCUGGGCGGAUUAGUGGCGAACGGGUGAGUAACACGUGAGUAACCUGCCCUUGACUUCGGGAUAACUCCGGGAAACCGGGGCUAAUACCGGAUAUGAGCCGCCUUCGCAUGGGGGUGGUUGGAAAGUUUUUCGGUCAGGGAUGGGCUCGCGGCCUAUCAGCUUGUUGGUGGGGUGAUGGCCUACCAAGGCGACGACGGGUAGCCGGCCUGAGAGGGCGACCGGCCACACUGGGACUGAGACACGGCCCAGACUCCUACGGGAGGCAGCAGUGGGGAAUAUUGCACAAUGGGCGAAAGCCUGAUGCAGCGACGCCGCGUGAGGGAUGAAGGCCUUCGGGUUGUAAACCUCUUUCAGCAGGGAAGAAGCGCAAGUGACGGUACCUGCAGAAGAAGCGCCGGCUAACUACGUGCCAGCAGCCGCGGUAAUACGUAGGGCGCAAAGCGUUGUCCGGAAUUAUUGGGCGUAAAGAGCUCGUAGGCGGUUUGU